CGGGGCGCGGGGCGGCCGGCAGCCGCUGCUCUUUCACAGCCCCGGGCCCUGCUCGGUCUCCAUCCCCUCCCUGUCCCGGGCAUCCCUGGUGCCACCCGAGCGACCCGCACCAGAGGCCCCCUCCGCCUCCUGCCCUGAUGCAACUAGCUUGAAACUCACACCGAUCAAGAUGAAAUUAUGGAGGAGAACGUGAAAUGGUCUUCUAGAUAGACCCAAGAGAUAACUACAUUUACCUUGAUCAUUAUGAGUCAGCCUUUUAUUUAGUGUGUGCCUCAAAGGGGAAUUUCACCCGAUGCAGUUAGAUAGGAACUCCUUUCCCUGAGGCAUUUAAUCUGAAGCUACCUGAGCAGGAGCACAGUGAUCUGUGCAAGACUUUGGUGGCCUUAGAUGGCUUCUCCUAGUUCAGGGAUUAGUAAAUUGCCAACUCCUUCCCCCACUGAUUCUUGGAAUUGCCACUGAAAUAUAUGGGUUCCUUCACCAUGGCCCUUGUUCUUCCGAGACAGAGAGUGAGUUCUGGAGAAAGACUUGAGGUUCUUGUUCCUCUCAGCACCACUCCUGCUUCCUGGCUAAUGGAAUCGCUGCUAGUUGCUGUGGGAAAGCUGGAUUUCUCAACCUAGGUGAUGACCCCAGGAAUCUGCAGGCUGCAGGCCCAGACUCCCCUUCCCCAUCUUCUCUGGCAACUUGGAGUGGCCAUGUGACACUGUUCUGACCGAUAGUUCACAGGACGUCUGCAGCACAGAGCCAUUCUUCAUGUCUGUUCUGAAGUGCUAACAGGCAAAUAAAGAAUACAACCCUGGACUUUUCCCAUGAAAGGAUCCAUAAGAAGGCCACUCUAUGUCGGAAGCUGAGUCUGGCUGGACUUCUUUCCUGCCUUCAGGCCUGCCUUUUCAUUCUGAAGUAAAAAGUAGAACUAUUUUACCUGCAUGUCCCAGUUUUAUCUGUGAGGUUGGGGGUGGACGAAACACAGAUGGAACCAAUAAGUUUUAUUGUGCAGACAGUGUGGUAUUCACUCUCCAGUGACCUUGUUUUGUGUGUAUACAUAGGGAAAAGUUUAACAAGCCAUCAUUGACUCUGACAAUGGGGGCAUAGGAGUGGCUCUCAAACCAAGGAGCAGAGAUUAUCGCUUUGUGAGGGCAAAUUUGAUUAAGAGGCAACCCUUGUGCACUUUUUGUGGGAUUAAAUAGGGAGCCAAAUGCUUAGUUUCAAUAUAACCAUCUUUCCAGCAGCCUUAAGGAAAAAGCUGCCUGUCAACACUUGGGUAAACAAUAUGAAUGAUGGAAGGAAAAGUGCUCAGAGGCAGGAAAGAGACGGGCAUUGAAAGUUUAUAAGACCUGCAUGCAAUUCAUGAAAAGACCAGAAUGCUCAUAAAGAGAAUGGAUUCUGUGCCCUCCCCUCUGCAGCCUCCAUACACUCCCCACAUUCCCUAGACUCCAGGAAUUCCCCUCUGGUUGCAAUGAAUACAGUGAGCACUCUAGCAUUUGUGCCAACAAAGUAAGAGAGCACAGUUAACAUAAAAUCAUGAGGCAUCUUUUAUAGUCACACACAUGAUCACUUCCUCUGUUUCUGCCCUGCAGGCGAGCAAAAUGCUAGACAUGGAGACACAAGCCCAGCAAACAGCUUUUUGCUAAAACAUUACAAGGAGCUAUGAGCCACACUCAAAUGAACACUCUAACACACAAAAUGUGUUCACGCAGCCUAAUGUUUAAUUUCUGUUCAAAGCCUCUAAAACAAAAUGUAGUGAAUCAUCAUUUGCUCAGAAAGCAUAGGGUGGUGGCAGAGACAAGGGAUCUGAGGUGGAGGGGACUGUGUAAGAGAGGAGUGCAAUGAAGGUCAUUAGGAGAUUAUCUGCACCAAUCUCAUUGCUAAAAAUGUCCACUUCUUACCUUGAGGAUCAGAGUUUGUAGACCAUUUUAUCUUUCUCUGUCAACAGAGAAUCUUGUAGAAUAAUAGCCACUAAAUCAACUAAAUUACACUCAACAAAUACUGAUGAGCAUUCUUUAUGUUUUUCACCUCAUUCUUGCACAAAAGAAGACAAGAAAAUGACUAAAUCCAGACCCCAUCUUUGAGAUGCCUAUAGUUUAUUAAGGGAGUUUAUAGUAACUCCCUAGGAGAUGG